AAUAAGUACAGUUUUGCACUAUUCACGUUUAACGUUUGACCGUCCGUCUUAUUUGAAAUUUUUUUAUAAUUAGUAUUUUUAUUGCUAUUAGAUGAUAAAACAUGAAUAGUACUUUAUGUGUGACUAAAUGUUUUUAAUUUUUUCAUAAAUUUUUCAAAUAAGACGGACGGUCAAACGUUGAAUGUGAAUAGUGCAAAACUGCACUUAUU
rfam:Oryza glaberrima chromosome 11 Oglab11_0264_6, whole genome shotgun sequence.